UACGUAGGUGGCAAGCGUUGUCCGGAAUUAUUGGGCGUAAAGGGCGUGUAGGUGGAUAAUUAAGUCUAGUGUCUAAGUGCGGAGCUCAACUCCGUAUGGGCGCGGGAAACUGGUUAUCUUGAGUGCAGGAGAGGAAAGUGGAAUUCCCAGUGUAGCGGUGAAAUGCGUAGAUAUUGGGAGGAACACCAGUGGCGAAGGCGACUUUCUGGACUGUGUCUGACACUGAGGCGCGAAAGCUAGGGGAGCGAAC
rnacentral:rRNA from 1 species